rnacentral:rRNA from 1 species
UACGUAGGGUCCGAGCGUUGUCCGGAAUUAUUGGGCGUAAAGGGCUCGUAGGCGGUCUGUUGCGUCGGGAGUGAAAACUUACAGCUUAACUGUGAGCGUGCUUUCGAUACGGGCAGACUAGAGGUAUGCAGGGGAGAACGGAAUUCCUGGUGUAGCGGUGAAAUGCGCAGAUAUCAGGAGGAACACCGGUGGCGAAGGCGGUUCUCUGGGCAUGUCCUGACGCUGAGGAGCGAAAGUGUGGGGAGCGAACAGG